rnacentral:rRNA from 1 species
AGCGAACGCUGGCGGCAGGCUUAACACAUGCAAGUCGAGCGGGCACCCUUCGGGGUGUCAGCGGCAGACGGGUGAGUAACGCGUGGGAACGUACCUUCUGGUUCGGAACAACCCUGGGAAACUAGGGCUAAUACCGGAUACGCCCUUAUGGGGAAAGGUUUACUGCCGGAAGAUCGGCCCGCGUCUGAUUAGCUAGUUGGUGAGGUAACGGCUCACCAAGGCGACGAUCAGUAGCUGGUCNGAGAGGAUGAUCAGCCACACUGGGACUGAGACACGGCCCAGACUCCUACGGGAGGCAGCAGUGGGGAAUUUUGGACAAUGGGGGCAACCCUGAUCCAGCCAUGCCGCGUGCGGGAAGAA